AGAUACUGCCAUGGAACUUGGAUUCCAGAUAUUAAUGGAUGAACAAUAUGUGGUAGUCUCCAGAAAACCACACUACAACCGAGAGUAUUUCUAUAGAUCAUGUGCUAGUUCAUCAAAUGAUAUCUGGCUAGCCUCUUUUAAUCAGAAG
rnacentral:lncRNA from 1 species